rnacentral:rRNA from 1 species
CGGCGGACGGGUGAGUAACGCGUGGGUAACCUGCCUCAUACAGGGGGAUAACAGUUAGAAAUGACUGCUAAUACCGCAUAAGCGCACGGGACUGCAUGGUCCAGUGUGAAAAACCGAGGUGGUAUGAGAUGGACCCGCGUCUGAUUAGCUGGUUGGCGGGGUAACGGCCCACCAAGGCGACGAUCAGUAGCCGACCUGAGAGGGUGGCCGACCACAUUGGGACUGAGACACGGCCCAAACUCCUACGGGAGGCAGCAG